UACAGAGGGGGCAAGCGUUGUUCGGAAUUACUGGGCGUAAAGGGCGCGUAGGCGGCCUUCUAAGUCGAACGUGAAAUCUCCAGGGCUCAACCCGGAAACUGCUUCGCAUACUGGCAGACUUGAGGAAUGCAGAGGUUUGUGGAAUUCCUGGUGUAACGGUGAAAUGUGUUGAUAUCAGGAGGAACACCCAUGGCGAAGGCAGCAAACUGGGCAUUAUCUGACGCUGAGGCGCGAAAGCGUGGGUAGCAAACAGG
rnacentral:rRNA from 1 species